rnacentral:sRNA from 1 species
CGGUGGCUGCCCGGUUCGAGAGCGUCCACUAUCACGCUCUGGGCCUAAUUCGUUCCAACGGGAGCUGUCCCUGGCGGGGCCCUGGCCUCGUCAAACGGCGCCCACCUGCGCAGCAGGUCCCAGGGACGACCGGACGUAUCGGCCACGGCGGCGCCGCC